rnacentral:rRNA from 1 species
UGUUAAUAAUUUAUAUAUAAUAUUUUAUUAAUAUUUAUAUAGUAUUAACAUAAUUCAUAUUACUAUUUUAUAGUAUAUGAAAUUUUACUUUGAGAAAAUUAGAGUGCUUAAGGCAGGCAUUAGCCUUGAAUACUCCAGCAUGGAAUAAUAUAAAAGAUUUUUAUCUUUUUUAUUGGUUCUAAGAUAAAAAUAAUGAUUAAUAGGGACAGUUGGGGGCAUUUGUAUUUAACAGUCAGAGGUGAAAUUCUUAGAUUUGUUAAAGACAAACUAGUGCGAAAGCAUUUGCCAAGGAUGUUUUCAUUAAUCAAGAACGAAAGUUAGGGGAUCGAAGACGAUCAGAUACCGUCGUAGUCUUAACCAUAAACUAUGCCAACUAGAGAUUGGAGGUUGUU